AAUGAACGCUGGCGGCAUGCCUAACACAUGCAAGUCGAACGAAGCCUUCGGGCUUAGUGGCGCACGGGUGCGUAACGCGUGGGAAUCUGCCCUUGGGUUCGGAAUAACAGUGGGAAACUACUGCUAAUACCGAAUGAUGUCGUAAGACCAAAGAUUUAUCGCCCAGGGAUGAGCCCGCGUAGGAUUAGCUAGUUGGUGUGGUAAAGGCGCACCAAGGCGACGAUCCUUAGCNGGUCUGAGAGGAUGAUCAGCCACACUGGGACUGAGACACGGCCCAGACUCCUACGGGAGGCAGCAGUGGGGAAUAUUGGACAAUGGGCGAAAGCCUGAUCCAGCAAUGCCGCGUGAGUGAUGAAGGCCUUAGGGUUGUAAAGCUC
rnacentral:rRNA from 1 species